GAGGAUAUAGCUCAGUGGUAGAGUACUUGUCUAGAAUGCAUGAAGCCAGAGCCAAACAAGGACAAAAGUCUCUGCAUCUUUU
rnacentral:tRNA from 1 species